GUAACAAGGUUUCCGUAGGUGAACCUGCGGAAGGAUCAUUACCGAGUGAGGGUUUCUCUGAAGCCCAACCUCCCACCCGUGUAUACCGUACCCUGUUGCUUCGGCGGGCCCGCCUCACGGCCGCCGGGGGACCUCGCGUCCCCGGGCCCGCGCCCGCCGAAGACCCCAACACGAACACUGUCUGAAAAGUGCAGUCUGAGUCGAUUGUUACCAAUCAGUCAAAACUUUCAACAAUGGAUCUCUUGGUUCCGGCAUCGAUGAAGAACGCAGCGAAAUGCGAUAACUAAUGUGAAUUGCAGAAUUCAGUGAAUCAUCGAGUCUUUGAACGCACAUUGCGCCCCCUGGUAUUCCGGGGGGCAUGCCUGUCCGAGCGUCAUUGCUGCCCUCAAGCACGGCUUGUGUGUUGGGCCCCGUCCCCGGUACCCCCGGGGACGGGCCCGAAAGGCAGCGGCGGCACCGCGUCCGGUCCUCGAGCGUAUGGGGCUUUGUCACCCGCUCUGCAGGCCCGGCCGGCGCCAGCCGACCAACCCAACCAUUUUU
rnacentral:misc_RNA from 1 species